AUGGAUCUGGAGCCAGAUGGCGACGGAUGGGUCGAGGUGCGGAAUCGCCAUCACCGGCGCCGUUAUGAAGAUGCUCCUGCCGUCAAGCGCCCAGAUGCAUCCAAGCCUAGGAUUCCCCGGUGGCCGGUAGGCCUCUGCUUUAAAUGUCUGGAGGCUGGUCACUUUAAGGCGGAGUGCUCCGGUGAGAUUCGCUGCCACCGCUGCUGGGUAUCGGGACACGUUGCUCGCUCCUGCUCCUCCCACCCUUCGCAGCACACUGCCAGAUCUCGCGGGGCUCCGCCGAAUCCCCGUGCGCAUCCCAGAUCGCCGACGACGGGAUCCUCCGCGCCACCUCCGCCGCCCCCUUCUGGCUCCAUGGCGCACUACCCCCCUCUGGCUCGUGAGCGCUUCCCUGGUGAGGUGUACACUCAUGGGGAUCCCGAUCUGAGGCCGGCUCGCGGCGGCGGCAUCAUCUCUCGCUCCGCGGGCAUGGAUGCGCUCGAGGCGGAUUUCCGCAAUCGCGUGUUGCUGGCCUCGGUGCAAGGGCGGCGGCCUGCGGUGUCACCGGAGGCGUUGGUGCAAGCCCUGGGGAAUUUCUUCAUCUGUUUUGCUUCCACAGAAGAUUGCGACCGGGUCUUCAGCCAGACCGGCCGGAUCCGGUUCCAGCGCUGGCACCGGUGCGCCCAAGCAUCCAGUGGCAAGCUCGAGUUCUUCUGCAAGCUGGGAAUUGAGGGACUGCCAGCGAGUGGCUGGGAGUGGGAGACGCUGAGCCAGCUCGUCAAUAAUCUUCAAGGCCAACUGGUGGAGGUGCUGCCGCAAGAUGAUCGCUGGCAGGUUGAUGUCACUGCUUGGAUGCGCAAUCCAUCCAGCAUUCCGAAGGUGUAUGAUCUGGAGAUCCCC
rnacentral:rRNA from 1 species